UCAAAAUCCAUUUGACAUCGCACACUGGGGAAAAACCUUAUAAGUGCGAAAUUUGUUUUAAGCGGGUUAAGAGUGAUUUAAAAGGACAUAUGAGAUUGCAUACUGGGGAAAAACCUUAUAAGUGCGAAAUUUGUUUUAAGCCGUUUACUCAUUCGAACAGUUUAAAAGGACAUAUGCGAUUGCACACUGGGGAAAAACCUUAUAAGUGCGAAAUGUGUUUUAAGGAGUUUGCUAAUUUAAGUAAUUUGAAACAACAUUUGAGAGUACACACUAGAGAAAAACUUCCCAAGUGUGAACUUUGUUUUAAGCAGGUUAAGGGUGAUUUAAAAAUACAUAUGAGAUUGCAUAAUGGGGAUAAACCUUAUAAGUGCGAAAUUUGUUGUAAGGCAUUUACUCGUUCGAACACUUUAAAAGGGCAUAUGAGAUUGCAUACUGGGGAAAACCCUUAUAAGUGCGAAAUUUGUUUUAAGCCGUUUACUCAUUCGAACAGUUUAAAAGGACAUAUGCGAUUGCACUCUGGGGAAAAACUUGCCAAGUGCGAAAUUUGUUUUAAGGAGUUUACUCAAACAGCUCAUUUGAAACAACAUUUGAGAGUACAUACUGGAGAAAGGCCUCACAAGUGUGAAAUUUGUUUUAAGGAGUUUGCUGAUUUGGGUAAUUUGAAACAACAUUUGAGAGUACACACUGGAGAAAGACCUCACAAGUGUGAAAUUUGUUUUAAGCGAUUUACUCAUUCAAAAAGUUUAAAAGAACAUAUGCGAUUGCACACUGGGGAAAAACUUCACAAGUGCGAAAUUUGUUCUAAGGAGUUUGCUAAUUUGGGUAAUUUGAAACGACAUUUGAGAGUACACACUGGAGAAAAACCUCACAAGUGUUAAAUUUGUUUUAAGGCAUUUACUCAUUCGAAUUCACUCUGGGGAAAAACAUACCAAGUGCGAAAUUUGUUUUAAGGAGUUUGCCAAUUUGGGUAAUUUGAAACAGCAUUUGAGAGUACACACUGGAGAAAAACCUCACAAGUGUGAAAUUUGUUUUAAGCAGUUUUCUGAGAAUGGUAGUUUGAAAAGACAUUUGAGAGUGCACAGUGGAGAAAAACCUUACAAGUGUGACAUUUGUUUUAAGCAGUUUAGUCACGCAGGUAAUUUGAAAACACAUUUAAGAGUACACGCUUGAGAAAACCUCACAAGUGCGAAAUUUGUUUUAGGCUGUUUAGUUAUUCGAGUAAUUUAAAACAACACUUGAGAUUGGACUCUCAGGAAAAACUUGGUACGGCACACCAAAAUUAAUGAAGAAUGUCAAACUUAAGGGGGGUAUGGUUUGAAAUUAACAUUUGAAGUACAUUUUUGUGAAUUUUUUUUAAACUAUGGUAGAAUUAUGUUAUAUGUAAAUUCAAUAAUUAUAUUCAGUACAAUUCAGACUAUUUGGAAAGGCUUGCGUAAAAAGGAAUAUUGGGUGGAGAGAAGCAGAAAGACUAGCUACUGACCGAAAGGCAUGGAGACGUCUGAUUUCUCCACUUACCUCGACACCGUAAGGUACAAGAGGACGGCUUAAGUAAGUAAAACUUUGGAACUAAUAUACAAGUACCCCAAUUUUAUUGAAGAAUGAAAAAGGUGACAUUCAGGGAAGAUUUAAACAAAGUACACUUAAUUCACAAGACAGAAAGAGAAUUGAACUUUGAAAUUGUUAACAGGAUGCGAUUUCGUCACCGUAUUCAAGAAAUGUCUAAAGUUAUUAUUCCUAUUUUAGAUAGAGAUUUAGAUGGCUAUUAAGGUUUAUAAUAAAACUGAACUUAUAAUUAAAUUAUGUUUUUUAUUAAUAUACAUUUUUAAAUUAGA
rnacentral:misc_RNA from 1 species